CGGAAUAGCGUCGGGUACCAUGCAGUCGUGCGGGACGAGUUUAAAAAUUGUUUUGGGGGGUGAUAAGGGGGUGAAGGGUGGGAGGGGGAUGAAUGCUUGCGUAAUGGGGGGGAGAACGGCUGAAAACGGUGUAAAAUAGCGUAAAAUGUCCACGGGCCAACGGGGGGGACCUUGAGGCCCCACGCCUGGAUAUGGCCCCAAGGGGGAUUCUCUAGGUGGUGAAGUAAACGCUCACCGAGGCGAACAUCCCACCAUGCCUUGAUGGAAUGAUAGGACAAUCUGGACUGCUGCAACUGCCAAAAUCCCUCCGGAAGCACCCGUGGGGAAUUAUUGAAAAAGGGGGCCACCCUUAACCAAGCCUGGUGGGGUGUUUAAAAAAGGUUUUCGGCUUGUAACCUGUAACGCAUGGUUAGGCAAGAUGAUGGAGGUGUCCUUGCUGAAUUGACAUUUGUACAUAAGAAGCACCGGCUAACUCCGUGCUACUGCCCGGUAAUACGGAGGGUGCAAGGGUUGAUCGGAAUUACUGGUGUUAGCGUACGUAGGCGGCGUGGUAAUCGAUAUGUUAAAACCCCCGGGGCUCAACCCUGGAACUGGGUUUUUGAAUUUGAAAUAUUAAAAAUCUGAAUAAGGGUGAUGGAAAUUUUCCAUUGUAAAGCGUAAAAUGUGCAAAAAAUUGAAAAGAAAAAACCAAUAGGGAAGGCGGACGCCCGGGGCCCAACCGGUCCUUAAAUUUCAAAACCUGGGGGGGGCAAAACGGAUAAAAAAUCCUGGGCUCCUCCCCCCAAAAACAACGUCCUCUACCUUGGGGACUCUGAAGUGUCGUGGCCUCCUAACCACUUGUUUAGCCCCCUGGGGGGAAAGGCCGCGGGUAAAAUCCAUAUAAUUUUCGGGGGGCCCCACAAGAGGGGGGACCUGGGGUUAAUUCUACGCACCCGAAAACUUACCUCUCU
rnacentral:rRNA from 1 species